GGGAUUACAGGUGCCCACCACCUCGCCUGGCUAAUUUUUUAUAUUCUUAGUUGAGACAGGAUUUCAACAUGUUGGCCAGGCUGGUCUCUAACUCCUGACUUCAAGUGAUCCACUGGCCUUGGCCUCCCAGAGUGCUGGGAUUACAGGCGUCAGCCACCAUGCCUGGCCUUUAAUGCCGAUCUUUAGUAGAGGUACUUAACAUUAGUAUUCUCUACUUAUAUUAGCAUGAAGAAGAUAAGUCAGUGUAGCUGCUUGGGGGACUUAUAGUGGCUGAAAAACAGCUGAGUAUAAUUAUGACUCAUGUACAUUUCUUUCAGGGGUGGCCUAUGUAUGCACAGCUACUGAUUGAUUUAUUCAAAUAUUUAGCGCCUUUCCUUAGAAAUGUGGAACUCACCAAACCUAUGCAAAUCCUCUACAAGGGCACUUUAAGAGUGCUGCUGGUUCUUUUGCAUGA
rnacentral:sRNA from 1 species